rnacentral:rRNA from 1 species
GAUGAACGCUGGCGGCGAGCCUAAUACAUGCAAGUCGAGCGAACGGACGAGAAGCUUGCUUCUCUGAUGUUAGCGGCGGACGGGUGAGUAACACGUGGAUAACCUACCUAUAAGACUGGGAUAACUUCGGGAAACCGGAGCUAAUACCGGAUAAUAUUUUGAACCGCAUGGUUCAAAAGUGAAAGACGGUCUUGCUGUCACUUAUAGAUGGAUCCGCGCUGCAUUAGCUAGUUGGUAAGGUAACGGCUUACCAAGGCAACGAUGCAUAGCCGACCUGAGAGGGUGAUCGGCCACACUGGAACUGAGACACGGUCCAGACUCCUACGGGAGGCAGCAGUAGGGAAUCUUCCGCAAAGGGCGAAAGCCUGACGGAGCAACGCCGCGUGAGUGAUGAAGGUCUUCGGAUCGUAAAACUCUGUUAUUAGGGAAGAACAUAUGUGUAAGUAACUGUGCACAUCUUGACGGUACCUAAUCAGAAAGCCACGGCUAACUACGUG